UUAAAUGCUGUCACUAGAUGGCGCCUUUGUGUACUUAUUUUACUGUUCUGUCAAAGGUUGCACUGUGCGUGCAGAUGUGACAUCAUUGCGCUGAAUGUACAUCUUGUUAUGUUUCCGGAGGAAUAGACACAGCACCUGCGGUUGUGUUUUAUGCCAGUGUUAAUAAUGAACCUCCUGUACUGGCCUCAAUAAAUAAGCCAAAGGCUAAAGAGUGAAGAUCGAGUCAGGUACGAGAGUCACGAUCGGAAUAAGUGUAUGGACGCGUUUCCGAAAGACGGUCGGCAUAAACCACCGCUCUCGAUCGGAAUACAAUUUCUUUCCGAUUGAGCCAAAUUGGAUCAAAAUCUUCCGAUGGACAUGUUUACAUGACACAUUUCUAUUCCGAUCUGGCAUUUACUCCGAUUAUCUGUGCCCAUGUAAACGCAGCUAUUGGCUCACAUGGGGGGGGACUACUUUUCAGGUCUUGAAAACACAUUACGGAUUGUUAAAGUAAUACUUUAAGAUUGAUUGAUUGAAAAGCAGAGAUCAUGAAAGUCUCCUGAGCAACAAUAUUGUAUUGAUCGAUCGACUUGUCACCUCUGACUGUCAUACCAAGCACACCAAAUCAAUCUUCCCACUACAUCACCUCCUUGCACCUCAGGUAAGACACCCAAAACAGCUAAGAUAGAGUGCCUGGCUUUGUCGUUUUUAAGUGCGAACAGUGAAUAAGAACAGCUUGUUUGAGUUAACAGAAAUAUCAAGGUUCAGUUCAAAGUAAGGGCUGAUGGGGGAGUGUUUAGAAACAGCCCUGCUGCUCAGCAGGUAACUCUUAAGCAUAAUGAUGAACAACACAGCAGGUAGAGCCCUGAGAGCCCAGCGGCAUCUCCUGAACGCCAUUCACUAUUUCCAUUGAGUAGUAAAACAGCUGCUAGCCCUAAAACAAAUAGAACACUGAGUGCAGCAUGUCUUCUUGGGGGCCCCUAAAAGCAAUAGCAGUAAGUGAUCGUGUGCUGCAACAUGAUCUAAGACAAUCAUAAGACCUGAGAAAAGUCCAGUAUAUCUCUGCCAGGACAGACACCAGAGGGAAUGAGAUAGUAAAACUCAAUAUAUACAGCCUCAAAGAUUAAAAAAAUACUUCUUUCCAAAAAACUUCAACUUUUCAAAGACGUAAUAUCAUCUCUCCCAGCAGAUCAAAUUUGCAGGAAUGUAUUUCAUGGUAAGUCUGUUUAUCAUUGCUAACAUAAAGCUGUUCUGGAGAGGAACUUGAGAACAAAACCUCUUGAUUUUCUCCUCAAGAAAAGUAGAUUUCGAGAGUGGAAAGUAAGCUAUGAUAGAAAAUAGCACUUAAGUGUGUUUAGUUCCUACAUUGAAUUGAUUGGGGAAACAGUUAUAUGUGUUUUUCCCCUUGUUUUUGUCCAUAUUGUACUUAUGAACCUUGAUAUAAAAAAGAAACAGAUAUGAUCAUCUAAAUGUAAUAAUAAUGCAUUAGAUUUUUAUAGUGCUUUUAUUAGACUCUCAAAGCACUUCACAUUGAAUAGAUCAUUCAUUCACUCACACAGUCACACCCUGGUGGUGGUAAACUACCUUAAUAGUCACGGAGAUAUGGCUGCCAGUUUGCACCUACAGCCUCUCUGACCACCACCACCACACAACACUCACAACCAUACACCAGUGGAGGACAUGCACUGAAAGCAAGAUGGGUAAAGUGUCUUACCCAAGGACACAAUGGACAGACUAGGGAUAGGGGAGGAAUCGAACCACCAACCUUCUUGUUAUUGGACGACCACUCUUCCUCCUGAGCUACUGUCGCCCCAUAUCUCAUUACUCUCACUUUGCAGUAACUUCAAACCGUGUAUUAAGUGGUUUCUUUUUGGAAAACACUCCAAAUUUGCACAAAAAUUUUCACAUGAGACAGAUUCCAAAUAUUGCUAAAAAUUAUUUCCUAACAACUACAAAUGCAUCUUACAGGCUAAAAGGUCAUUAAGUUCUUUUACUUUAAGACUUUUACUUUUUCCUGCAGAUCAUUUGUUUUCACACCGCAAUACUGUAAAGCAGGCCAAAGCACAUACCAUCAGUGGGGUUGUCUUUAUGUCAUCACGCCAUAGCUUCAUUUUCCUACCGUGAAGAAAAGCAAAUGCCGCUCACAGUGGUCUCUCUGCAUGGUGAGGAGUCACUGUAUCGGUUCAAAGAACAACCCUGUAGUCUGGCAACUGUUGGCUGUUUGUGUAAGAUGUUAAAGUUGUUACAACAUCUGACGAAAAACCUACAGACUCCUUGUUACGCAUCUCAAUUCAUCAAAGUAUUGAAGGUUAAACUUGCUAAUCAGAUAUGUCUUCAAUGAAGAACUAAAGGCGUUUGAUAGAAGCACAUUCAGCUGAAAGUUUUCACCAACAACUGUGGGAAAGAUGUGGCUCAUGUCAAAGCAGGUAUUUGUUAUGGAACUAAGAAGGAAGAAUCCACUUCUUCUGGUCAUGUUUGUUUGUAGUUGUGUAAAGUAACCGACUGAAACAAGACAAGGACAAAACACUGAGAACUCUGAUUCUCCGAUCCAUGACUGGACAUUGAAGCUGCCUUGCCCCAAACGCACCAUACACCAGAAGCCAGCAUGUGGCAGCAAAAGGGCUACGUGUGUUUAUGGAGGCAUGAAGAGUGAAGCCCGCAGCUUUGCAGUAAAUCCUGGUCCAUCUCACGGGACUUGAGGAAACAGUUAAUAGCAUUCAAACAUCCCAGGGGAGAAACUACACUUGGACACUUUUAAAGGGGCUGGUUUACCGAGCAGGCGUGGCUAAUGGCAUGUAGUGAUGCUUUUGCUUUGUCUUUCUCCCCCUGCAGUGUUUUUUAAAUAUAAGGAUCAGUCCCUGCAUAGGUUCAUUUAGGUAUGACCUUCUCAAAUGUACCACCAGUUACUCUUUAAGUGCUGAAACACAAAAUGUAGACAAGAAAAUGUUGAUAAAAAAUAUUAUAAAACAAAUAAUCCUAAAGUUUUUGCCUUUCCCUGAAAACUUGCUGCUACAUUUUCCCCUCCUGCAUUUAUGAUGGAGUAACAACUGUCCUGCAGUGUAGAUUAGCACAGCGGGGAGAUUCCUCAGUGGCCACCCACUGUUUGCCUUUGAGACGGAGAAUGGCUGCUAGUGUAUCUAACAGAGGAAACACAAGAGACGUCCUUGAAGGCCUCGUCAUGAAUGCUGGGCUCAGAAAGAGAAACCUAACUUUGAUUUGGAAAAUAUAGACCCAGAGGAGCAGUGAAAGUGCUUCAAACGAUAUCAGAGAGGGAAAAAAAGGAUGAAGCUGCAACCCACAGUACCUGAUGACACUGGGUUAUAGUGUCCAUAAUGAUAGAGUGACAGCAGGGAGGAUGGAGAGAUGUAAAAAAAAGGACAAGCUGUGUUUCUAUCAAUACUGACUAUUUCCGACACAUGCCACUCUCUUUUUCUAUUAUCCCCUUAAAACUGUACUCAGAGGUAUACAGAAAGAAAGGUUGUUGAAGCAAAAUAAAAAACUGAAAAUGAUUGGAAUAGCACAGAGAAAGAGAAUAUGUGGUACAUGAAAUACAAGAACACGGAACAACAAAAGGGUAUGUUGUCAGUCACGUUUGAAUUGGUAGUCAAAGGUAAACUGAGACAAUCCUGCCCUCUACUGAGCAACAUGAUACAAAGCUGCCCCAGACACAGUACAAAGGCAGAUCCCACUAUAAAAAAUAAUCGUAAAUAUAUACAGUAUAUAUUAAAAAAAGAGUCCCAACUAACUUUUCUAAGUAACGUAGGAACAGAGCAUUUGCUCCUCCAUUUUUUUUACUUUAAGAAAAUAAACUUUCAUAAAAUGGUGUUUCUCCUAACCCUUCAACAUAAUGAUCAAGGUGGCUAAGCUAUGACCAUUGUUUAGAGUUGGUACCCAAAAUGCAAAUCAGACAGAGGAAGGUUUCAUAGAUUUCUUUGAAUGGAUGAGUGCAGUUAGGAGGGAAUCCUGAGGCCAAGUCCAGAGAGAACAAGUCCAGGAGAAUGUACUGGGUUGUGAGCUGGAGAGAGGGAGGAGGGAAGGCAAAAUAAGGAGCAGUCUAGAGUAAAAAACAAAAAAACCUGAAAAGGUUCACAAGGAUCUCUAGAGAUAUGGCGGCGAUAAUACUCUGGUGCUGAAGCUUGUGUCGGCAGCAGUCUUAAAGCCGGCUUGAUUGCAGAGUGGAGACAGGUGAGCUUAUUCAGCCUUAGCGUUGCAGGUGGGGGAAGGGCGCAGUCUCUGGAACAGGUGAAGUGAAACGCACACAACCCAUACUGGGAACGGGAUCCAAACCAAAAUAAAAGUAUAUGCUCACCACAAAAGCAGUUUUUUCAGGAUGUGGGGACCACAUGUAGAAAAAUAAGUCCUGUCCAAGACAGAACACAUUACUUAAGUUUGACUUUUCUUUUGAUGCCUUUUAUAAUAAUGAACUGUUUAUACACAGAAAUCUACUCAAAGAGUAGAAAUCAAUUGAAGAAUUAUCCAUAGUUUAUUAGUCAAUUGCAAAAUUUGGUAAUCCUGGUUUGUAGAUUAUGCAGGACUUGCAUUUCAUUGUAUUUGACAGUAGGAACAGUUUUACAGACACAUAGAGGUUCAGCUAUUCUAGUGUUACUGAACCCUUCUUUAACAUGAAACUGAUUUAAAGGUGCUUACAAAGAGACUUGAUGGGAGUGGAUAGUGAUGGGGAGCAUUACUUGCACUCAUAACCUUAUAAAUGUACAGAUAGAAGUAGCUUUUAUGUUGCAAGAUCAGCCGGAGAAGCACAGUCCUCUGCAGCAAGCAGCAUUGUUAUGUUGUCUUUUUCCCUUUCACCCUAUAAGCUGAACUAAAAAACAGCUAUUGCAGUUUUAGAGCCGCAGCACCACCGGCAUUUUCUCCUUGAAUCUGCAUAUGAGUUUUUCACAGACGACAAGUUCCUCUCCUCCAGGCACAGCUUUACAAUUCACAGUAAAGUUGAUUUGUUCCUCUGAAAUAUUGCUAGAACAUUUCCACGAACUAUUUGCUGUUCCUUCUACUUUUUCACUCAUGCACAAGUUAAGCUAGUCAAGCUAGCAGAAGUUUCAUAUCAAUAGAUUACCUUUAUAAAAAAAGGCUCUCUUAAAGUUGCGGAAGUGAUUUGUUACAUUAUGAGCUACACUAAAAAGUAAAAAGUAAAGUGUGACAGAUUACUUUGUCUGCUUUGUUUCUACAGUAGUACAGAAUGGACAAACCACACAGAAGAGUAGUGAUUGUCAUCUGCAAAAGGAGAGUAUUGAAAGCAUUAAAAUCUUAAUAAAUGGAGCAUCAAAUGAUGUCUCACAGUGACCUCUUGUCCUUAAAGGUCACCGUCUAUCCACCAAGGGGAGGGGUGAGCAAGGGAGCGUUUCAUUUACAUCUUUUCACCGACAGUCAGAAAACAAAGGUUCUAGAUAAUUCUUCUGGGGACUCUUUUCAUUGUAUGAUUUUAUAAUUUGCCCUUGAGUGAUUUCACACAAUGACACAGAUUAAUUGAUAGGAAGUGCUCACUCUUCCCUCACAUCGGCAAAGAGAUUUAAAGCUAAGCAUGUCCCACAUUGCUUUGGGUAGAUAGUGAAAAUUAUCCCUCUUCAUGAUCCCAUGUGCUAAUCCUCAUAUUAGACCUCAUGUCUUGGCUCAGCUCACUGACUGCAGAAUUCAUUAUUAAGACUCUAAUCUCAUGCACUGUGUGAUUACUCUGGUCAUGGUUGGUGAAUACUGAAAAUGCUGGGUGACAAAAUACCACACUCAGACAUAACUACAGUCAGAGGACAAUUAUCUGUAUUAUCUUCGUUAUUAAAUGGCACAACAUCAAGUCAAGUCAUGGUCAAAGCUAGAUCCAAAAAUGUAGGUCCAAGGCACAAAGACUUUAGACUCUAUUUUUCAAAGACCCAAUGUAAAGAUGACAGUGAGCCCCACCCUGUGAGAUCAGAACCACUCUCAUCCCAUCUUCAACCACGAGUGUAGCUCUUUAGAAAGUCACAGUGGCAAGAAAAACUUCAGACUCAUGUAAAACAGUCAUCUGCUGCUAUGUUGGGUUAAAAGAGAGAAUAGAUGGAGAUACUGAUAGAGGGAGAGUUGUUGAUCAUGAUUCUUAGUUAUUGAUCUGUUCAAUAUGUGGGGAUGUAGCUCAGUGGUAGAGCGCAUGCUUCGCAUGUAUGAGGCCCCGGGUUCAAUCCCCGGCAUCUCCAUCUUUCUGAGUCUGGAGAAUGUCCCAAGUUGGUGGAAAAUUUCCUGUGUGCUUCCUGUUCCUAAGACAUCAAGCAACAGGGGGCCCAACCUUCAGACCUGUAGCCCCUCACUUCUCAUCUGAUGAAGAUCUUCAACAAGAUUGUCUUUCACAACCUCUGUCCACUGGUGAACCCAAAUCCUUUGUUUUUCUUGUCUGUUAAGACAGGGUACAUCGUUUUCAGUUUUCUGUUUCAGCACACAUCACACAAUGAAGUGCUGAUAUUUUAGUAGUAUGCACAUAAUCCAAAACACCAGUUGGAAAAAAAAGAGCUUGUUAUGUUCCUUUUUUGGAGCAAUAUAAGACGAACAAUCAUUGUGCAACACUGAGGUAGCCACCCAAUGACAGAUUUACAACUAUCUUUACCUUUACUGCCAAUGCUGGUAUAUCAUAUUAUAUGGCAUAGGUCUGAAAGUCAGACUCCCUGUAGUUUGAAGUCUUUGAGAAAGGAAGUUCUUUCACAUAGUUGGAACACUCCCUACACUCAGAAAGUUGGAGAUGCCGGGGAUUGAACCCGGGGCCUCAUACAUGCGAAGCAUGCGCUCUACCACUGAGCUACAUCCCCUCACAUUAAAACAUUGAUUAACAAAGUAAUAGAAGGUUUUGGUUUUAUUAGAUAAAACAGUCAACGUUGACUCCCCCAUCUGACCUGGCGACCUGGCCCCCCCUUGCCGUAGCAUGAACUUUUUGUUUCUCCUCAAUCUCUAGUCGUGAUAGCAGCUGCCCCCAAGUCAAGCCAUCAAGUCAAGUCAUGGUCAAAGCUAGAUCCAAAAAUGUAGGUCCAAGGCACGAAGACUUUAGACUC